rnacentral:rRNA from 1 species
GAUGAACGCUGGCGGCGUGCCUAAUACAUGCAAGUCGAGCGAACAGAUGAGGAGCUUGCUCCUCUGACGUUAGCGGCGGACGGGUGAGUAACACGUGGAUAACCUACCUAUAAGACUGGGAUAACUUCGGGAAACCGGAGCUAAUACCGGAACAUAUAUUGAACCGCAUGGUUCAAUAGUGAAAGACGGUUUUGCUGUCACUUAUAGAUGGAUCCGCGCUGCAUUAGCUAGUUGGUAAGGUAACGGCUUACCAAGGCAACGAUGUGUAGCCGACCUGAGAGGGUGAUCGGCCACACGGGAUCUGAGACACGGUCCAGACUCCUACGGGAGGCAGCAGUAGGGAAUCUUCCGCAAGGGGCGAAAGCCUGACGGAGCAACGCCGCGUGAGUGAUGAAGGUCUGCGGAUCGUAAAACUCUGUUAUGAGGGAAGAACAAAUGUGUAAGUAACUAUGCACGUCUGGACGGUACCUAAUCAGAAAGCCACGGCUAACUACGU